rnacentral:rRNA from 1 species
CCUACGGGGGGCAUCAGUGGGGAAUAUUGGACAAUGGGGGCAACCCUGAUCCAGCCAUGCCGCGUGUGUGAAGAAGGCCCUCGGGUUGUAAAGCACUUUCAGUGAGGAAGAACGCCUGGUGGUUAAUACCCAUCAGGAAAGACAUCACUCACAGAAGAAGCACCGGCUAACUCCGUGCCAGCAGCCGCGGUAAUACGGAGGGUGCGAGCGUUAAUCGGAAUUACUGGGCGUAAAGCGCGCGUAGGUGGCUUGAUAAGCCGGUUGUGAAAGCCCCGGGCUCAACCUGGGAACGGCAUCCGGAACUGUCAAGCUAGAGUGCAGGAGAGGAAGGUAGAAUUCCCGGUGUAGCGGUGAAAUGCGUAGAGAUCGGGAGGAAUACCAGUGGCGAAGGCGGCCUUCUGGACUGACACUGACACUGAGGUGCGAAAGCGUGGGUAGCAAACAGGAUUAGAUACCCCUGUAGUC